rnacentral:rRNA from 1 species
GGGGAAAGAGGGGGACCUUCGGGCCUCUCGCGAUUGGAUGAGCCUAUGCCGGAUUAGCUAGUUGGCGGGGUAAGAGCCCACCAAGGCGACGAUCCGUAGCUGGUCUGAGAGGAUGAUCAGCCACACUGGAACUGAGACACGGUCCAGACUCCUACGGGAGGCAGCAGUGGGGAAUAUUGGACAAUGGGCGCAAGCCUGAUCCAGCAAUGCCGCGUGUGUGAAGAAGGCCUUCGGGUUGUAAAGCACUUUUGUUUGGGAAGAAAUCCGGUUGGUUAAUACCUGAUCGGGAUGACGGUACCAAAAGAAUAAGCACCGGCUAACUUCGUGCCAGCAGCCGCGGUAAUACGAAGGGUGCAAGCGUUAAUCGGAAUUACUGGGCGUAAAGCGUGCGUAGGUGGUUUGUUAAGUCAGAUGUGAAAGCCCUGGGCUCAACCUGGGAACUGCAUUUGAUACUGGCAGGCUAGAGUGCGGUAGAGGGUGGUGGAAUUCCCGGUGUAGCG